rnacentral:rRNA from 1 species
CCCAGACUCCUACGGGAGGCAGCAGUGGGGGAUAUUGCACAAUGGGGGGAACCCUGAUGCAGCGACGCCGCGUGGGUGAAGGAGUAUUUCGGUAUGUAAAGCCCUAUCGGCAGGGAAGAAGCAAGACGGUACCUGACUAAGAAGCCCCGGCUAACUACGUGCCAGCAGCCGCGGUAAUACGUAGGGGGCGAGCGUUAUCCGGAUUCACUGGGUGUAAAGGGAGCGUAGACGGCCAAGCAAGCCAGGGGUGAAAGCCCGGGGCCCAACCCCGGGACUGCCCUUGGAACUGCUUGGCUGGAGUACAGGAGGGGCAGGCGGAAUUCCUGGUGUAGCGGUGAAAUGCGUAGAUAUCAGGAGGAACACCGGUGGCGAAGGCGGCCUGCUGGACUGCGACUGACGUUGAGGCCCGAAAGCGUGGGGAGCAAACAGGAUUAGAUACCCCAGUA